GACGAACGCUGGCGGCGUGCUUAACACAUGCCAGUCGAACGGAAAGGCCCCUUUGGGGGUCCUCGCGUGGCGAACGGGUGAGUAACACGUGAGUAACCUGCCCUUGACUUCGGGAUAACUUCAUGAAAGUGGGGCUAAUACCGGAUAGGAAUCCUUGCUGCAUGGUGGGGGUUGGAAAGCUUCGGGGGGUUUGGAUGGACGCGCGGGUUAUCGGCUUGUUGGUGGGGUAGUGGCUUACCAAGGCUGUGGCGGGUAGCCGGCCUGGGAGGGCGACCGGCCACAAUGGGACUGAGAGGAGGCCCAGGCACCGAAGGGAGGGCAAAGGGGGGAAGAUUGCACAAGGGGCGGAAGGCGGAUGCAGCAACGCCGCGGGCGGGAAGACGGCCUUCGGGUUGUAAAACGCAUUCAGCAGGGGCGAAGCUUGUGGUGACGGUACCUGCAGAAGAAGCACCGGCUAACUACGUG
rnacentral:rRNA from 1 species